rnacentral:misc_RNA from 1 species
GCAAAGCCACUGGGCAUUGAGAAUAAAAUAGAUGAGAAUGACUUUGAACGAAGAAGGUUUAUGCAGACCAAUGAGCCUGGUCAACUCUUUCAUACGCAGAGGAAUGACAAGAAACAAGAUCCAAUGCUUCCUAUUGGUAAUGUCGGCACAUGCUUUUCGAAUUUGAAUCAGCAGAACAUUGGGGCUUCUCUCUUUGGCAAACCCG